UCAAGCAAGAAAGAGCGCAGGGUGGAUGCCUUGGCACUAAGAGCCGAAGAAAGACGUGAUAAGCUGCGAAAAGCUGCGGGGAGGAGCAAAUAUCCAUUGAGCCGCAGAUAUCUGAAUGGGGAAACCCGGCUGGACGAACUCCAGUCAUCCAUACGCCAAUCCAUAACGUAUGGAAGGGAACCCGGUGAACUGAAACAUCUAAGUAGCCGGAGGAAGAGAAAGAAAAAUCGAUUUCCAAAGUAGCGGCGAGCGAAAUGGAAAGAGGCCAAACCAUGGUGCGUGCACCGUGGGGUUCGGACCGCAUAAUUGAUUCGUUGAUUCUAGCAGAAAGGUUUUGGGAAAGCCUGCCAGAGAGGGUGAAAGCCCCGUAAGCGAAAGGAAAGACGACAUGGCGGAAUCCAGAGUACAUCGAGACACGAGAAACCUUGAUGGAAUGAGCGGGGACCACCCCGUAAGCCUAAAUACUCCUUAGUGACCGAUAGCGCAUAGUACUGUGAAGGAAAGGUGAAAAGGACCCCGGGAGGGGAGUGAAAGAGAACCUGAAACCCUGUGUUUACAAGCUGUGGAACAUCUUUAAAUGAUGAACCGCGUACUUUUUGUAGAACGGUCCGGCGAGUUACGCGUGCCGGCAAGGUUAAGCACUUAAGGUGUGGAGCCGAAGAGAAAUCGAGUCUGAACAGGGCGUUCAGUCAGCACGCGUAGACCCGAAACCGGGUGAUCUACCCAUGUCCAGGUUGAAGUUGCCGUAAAAGGCAAUGGAGGACCGAACGCACAUCCGUUGAAAAGGGUGGCGAUGAGGUGUGGGUAGGGGAGAAAUUCCAAUCGAACCCGGAGAUAGCUGGUUCUCCUCGAAAUAGCUUUAGGGCUAGCCUCAUUUUAGUCUUAUGGAGGUAGAGCACUGAAUUUCCGCGGGGGCGUCAAAGCUUACCAAAGAAUAUCAAACUCCGAAUGCCAUGUAGAUGAUGAAUGGGAGUCAGACUGCACGAGAUAAGUUGGGUGGUCAAAAGGGAAAGAGCCCAGACCUACAGCUAAGGUCCCAAAGUGCGUGUUAAGUGGAAAAGGAUGUGGGAUUUCAAAGACAACCAGGAUGUUGGCUCAGAAGCAGCCAUACAUUCAAAGAGUGCGUAACAGCUCACUGGUCGAGAGGUCCUGCGCCGAAAAUGUCCGGGGCUGAAACACGACACCGAAGCUUAGGAAUCACAUAGUGAUUGGUAGAGGAGCAUUCUUAAAACCGACGAAGCUGUACCGGAAGGAGCAGUGGAGGGAUAAGAAGAGAGAAUGCCGGAAUGAGUAGCGAGAGGAAGGUGGGAAUCCUUCCGGCCGAAUAUCUAAGGUUUCCAGAGUAAAGCUGAUCUGCUCUGGGUAAGUCGGGGCCUAAGGAGAGGUCGAAAGACGUAUCCGAUGGACAACAGGUUUAGAUUCCUGUACCACAUAUAAACAGAACUGUGGGGACGCAUGUGGAAAGCAUAAGCCGGGAAUGGAAAUACCGGUACAAACGGAAGAGGUGUCAGGCUGGCAAAUCCGCCUGGCAAGCCAAAGACGUGAUGUGGAGCGAAAUAAAAGUAGCGAAGUAUGUGAGCCAUGUGCCGAGAAAAGCCGCUAUUGUUUUAUAUGUGCCCGUACCGUAAACCGACACAGGUGGAUGAGGAGAGAAUCCUAAGGCCGACGGAAGAAGCAUUGUUAAGGAACUCGGCAAAAUGACCCCGUAACUUCGGGAGAAGGGGUGCCCACUUCAGGGUGGGCCGCAGAGAAUAGGCUCAAGCAACUGUUUAGCAAAAACACAGGUCUAUGCGAAACCGUAAGGUGAAGUAUAUGGGCUGACGCCUGCCCGGUGCUGGAAGGUUAAGAGGAGAGGUUAGUCGCAAGAUGAAGCUUUGAAUUUAAGCCCCAGUAAACGGCGGCCGUAACUAUAACGGUCCUAAGGUAGCGAAAUUCCUUGUCGGGUAAGUUCCGACCCGCACGAAAGGCGU
rnacentral:rRNA from 1 species